CUUUUCUGCUUUGGGAACUGCUGAAAGGAGAUAGCCAGAGACACAUCCUUUUGUAAAAUACUCCCUUCUGCAAGGAAAAUUCAGAAACACGGCAGCAGCAUCCAUCUGUUGAACAUUACUUGGGCAUUGCUUCCACAAGAGAAAUAUUACAGGAUGCUGUGGAGACACAGGGCUGGCUGGGAUGGAUUCCAAAUUGCAGCCCAAAAAUCCACUCCUGUUCCAGCCCCUGCCUGUGGGGUCUGUGCCCCUCAUUGUCACAGAUCUCUGAUG